GCUUUGGUAGCACAUACUAAAAUUGGAACCAUACAGCGAAGAUUAGCAUGCUCUCUCUGCAAGGACAAUAUACAAAUUUGUGACGCAUUCUAUUCUUGA
rnacentral:snRNA from 1 species